rnacentral:rRNA from 1 species
AGUGAAAAAGAACCUGAAACCGUGUACGUACAAGCAGUGGGAGCCCCACCACUAAGCCAGUGGUGAACUCCACAUACGCAUCCUUUGCUGAGGAUACGGUUAACGGAGCGAAAGCGACGUUCAACCGCAAAAGAAGCAGAGGGGGCUUAGUGGUGGGGUGACUGCGUACCUUUUGUAUAAUGGGUCAGCGACUUAUAUUCUGUAGCAAGGUUAACCGAAUAGGGGAGCCGGAGGGAAACCGAGUCUUAAUUGGGCGUUAAGUUGCAGGGUAUAGACCCGAAACCCGGUGAUCUAGCCAUGGGCAGGUUGAAGGUUGGGUAACACUAACUGGAGGACCGAACCGACUAAUGUUGAAAAAUUAGCGGAUGACCUGUGGCUGGGGGUGAAAGGCCAAUCAAACCGGGAGAUAGCUGGUUCUCCCCGAAAGCUAUUUAGGUAGCGCCUCGUGAAUUCAUCUCCGGGGGUAGAGCACUGUUUCGGCUAGGGGGCCAUCCCGGCUUACCAACCCGAUGCAAACUGCGAAUACCGGAGAAUGUUAUCACGGGAGACACACGGCGGGUGCUAACGUCCGUCGUGAAGAGGGAAACAACCCAGACCGCCAGCUAAGGUCCCAAAGUCAUGGUUAAGUGGGAAACGAUGUGGGAAGGCCCAGACAGCCAGGAUGUUGGCUUAGAAGCAGCCAUCAUUUAAAGAAAGCGUAAUAGCUCACUGGUCGAGUCGGCCUGCGCGGAAGAUGUAACGGGGCUAAACCAUGCACCGAAGCUGCGGCAGCGACGCUUAUGCGUUGUUGGGUAGGGGAGCGUUCUGUAAGCCUGUGAAGGUGUGUCGUGAGGCAUGCUGGAGGUAUCAGAAGUGCGAAUGCUGACAUAAGUAACGAUAAAGCGGGUGAAAAGCCCGCUCGCCGGAAGACCAAGGGUUCCUGUCCAACGUUAAUCGGGGCAGGGUGAGUCGACCCCUAAGGCGAGGCCGAAAGGCGUAGUCGAUGGGAAACGGGUUAAUAUUCCCGUACUUGGUGUUACUGCGAAGGGGGGACGGAGAAGGCUAUGUUGGCCGGGCGACGGUUGUCCCGGUUUAAGCGUGUAGGUGUGUGUUCCAGGUAAAUCCGGUUCACUUUAACACUGAGGCGUGAUGACGAGGCACUACGGUGCUGAAGUAACAAAUGCCCUGCUUCCAGGAAAAGCCUCUAAGCAUCAGGUAACAUCAAAUCGUACCCCAAACCGACACAGGUGGUCAGGUAGAGAAUACCAAGGCGCUUGAGAGAACUCGGGUGAAGGAACUAGGCAAAAUGGUGCCGUAACUUCGGGAGAAGGCACGCUGACACGUAGGUGAAGUGAUUUACUCAUGGAGCUGAAGUCAGUCGAAGAUACCAGCUGGCUGCAACUGUUUAUUAAAAA